GACGAACGCUGGCGGCGUGCUUAACACAUGCAAGUCGAACGGUCCUGUUUUUGAAGCGCUUCGGCGUGGAGGGAGCGGGUUAGUGGCGCACGGGUGAGUAAUGCGCGAGGACCUGCCCGCGGGAGGGGGACAGCAGUUGGAAACGGCUGGUGAUACCCCGUAAGCCGGGAGGUAAAAGGGCGGAGACGCCCGCCUGCGGAUGGACUCGCGUCCUAUCAGCUAGUUGGUGAGGCAACGGCUCACCAAGGCGACGACGGGUAGCCGGCCUGAGAGGGUGUCCGGCCACACUGGAACUGAGACACGGUCCAGACUCCUACGGGAGGCAGCAGUGGGGAAUAUUGGGCAAUGGUCGAAAGACUGACCCAGCCAUGCCGCGUGCAGGAUGAAGGCCCUAUGGGUUGUAAACUGCUUUUAGCCGGGAAUAAACACCCGUUUUAUAACGGGCCCGAAGGUACCGGCUGAAUAAGCAUCGGCUAACUCCGUG
rnacentral:rRNA from 1 species